GCCUCGCUCGGCGGCGGCGCGGGCGGGGGAGCGGAGCGGCGGCAGGCGGCGGCAGUGCCAUCUAGCGGCGGGCGUGGCAGCGAAGGCGCCGUCCCCGCAACACAGCCACAGCCAGUGACGUCACACCAGCGUAAUGGGCACCAGUUUUAUCGAAUGGUGUUGAAUGGGUGACAGUACGGUCGGCCUUACAGUCACUUUUGCCCCAUUUCCCUAUGCACUACUGGGACCUAUUGGUGAGGUGAGACGGGGCUUGUGAGCACCUGAGCAGAGAGAACACGGGCGAUGUUCACGGGCAGCCUUAAAGUGAAAAUAUGCGAAGCUACCGAUCUCCGCCUUACCGACUGUAUGACCCGCUAUGUCGGAGUAGCAGGGGUGGGAAAAGGUCCUCAAGACCAAACCCUGGAUCCUUACGUGACGCUGGAGGUGGACGAGGUACACUGGACCAAGACGCAGGCCCGACAGAAGACCUUUACGCCCAUAUGGAACGAGAGCUUUGAGCAAGACGUGAUGGGCGCCGUCCAGCUCGGCCUCAAGAUCUUCCAUGACUCCGCGGUCGGCAACGAUGACUUCGUGGCCGACGCUUCCUUGCUCUUCGAGGAAAUAUGUGCCGAGAACCAGACCCAUGCCGACAUCUGGGUGGACUUAGAACCUCAGGGGAAGCUACACGUGGUGAUUGAACUAAAAUGGGCACCACCAGAAGAUGGAGGCGUCCGCCCACGAGAAUUCAGGGAACGGCAGGGCUUCAACCGGCGACGGGGUGCCAUGAGGAGGCGGGUUCAUCAGGUCAAUGGUCACAAAUUCAUGGCUACGUUCCUACGGCAACCUACAUUCUGCUCGCAUUGUCGAGAAUUCAUAUGGGGUCUAGGGAAACAAGGAUAUCAGUGUCAAGUAUGUACUUGCGUAGUCCACAAACGCUGUCACCAGUCGGUUGUCACACGAUGUCCAGGAAGCAAGAGUGAGACCAUCAAUGAGGAACCUUCAGUCCAGGGAAGUUGUCAACCGCGAUUCAACGUCAAUGUGCCACAUCGGUUUUCUGUUCACUCCUACAAACGGUUCACAUUCUGUGACCAUUGUGGCUCAUUACUUUAUGGCCUUAUUCGUCAGGGUCUCCAAUGUGAAGUAUGCAACAUGAAUGUUCACAAGAGAUGCCAAAAGAAUGUAGCCAACAAUUGUGGGAUAGACGUAAAACAGUUAUCAGAAAUUCUAGCCACCAUGGGUAUUCGGCCCCAAGAUGAAGCAGCCAAACGCAAGAAGAAGUCUGUUAGUGAGACUAAGUUAUCAUCAGCCACCGCCCCUGUUAGUGUCCCAGGAAUCAUCGGAGAAGUUGAAGUCCCAGGUGAAAUGAAUGAGGAAGAGCUAAGACUAAGGAUUGAAGCUCAGCGUAUCAUGGACAAGAAGAUGAAGGAACGCUGUGCAGAAGAAGGACUAGAUGCCAAGUCAAAGCCACACGAUACUUCUUUAGAUGUCAUGCUUGGUGGGAAGAAGGUAGACCUGGAUGACUUCUCAUUCAUUAAAGUGCUUGGCAAAGGAAGUUUUGGAAAAGUAAUGCUAGCUGAACUCAAAGGGACAGAUGAAGUCUAUGCCAUCAAGGUGCUUAAGAAAGACGUGAUCCUACAAGAUGAUGAUGUAGAAUGUACAAUGACUGAGCGGCGGAUCUUAGCGAUGGCUGCCCACCACCCCUUCCUCACUGCCCUCCACUCUUGCUUUCAAACCAAGGAUCGAUUAUUCUUUGUUAUGGAGUAUGUUAACGGUGGCGACCUAAUGUUCCAAAUUCAGAAGGCUCGCAAGUUCACAGAGUCACGUGCAAGAUUUUAUGCAGCUGAGGUCACGUUGGCCUUACAGUUCCUCCAUAAAAAUGGUGUUAUUUACAGAGAUUUGAAAUUAGAUAAUAUUCUACUAGACAGUGAAGGACAUUGUAAAAUAGCUGAUUUUGGUAUGUGUAAGGAAGGCAUCAGGGAUAAUAUUACAACAACCACCUUCUGUGGAACACCAGAUUACAUUGCACCAGAGAUUCUUAAAGAGUUGGAUUAUGGUGCAAGUGUUGACUGGUGGGCACUAGGAGUUCUCAUGUAUGAAAUGAUGGCAGGACAGCCACCAUUUGAGGCUGAUAAUGAAGAUGAUCUCUUUGAGUCCAUCCUGCAUGAAGAAGUUUUGUAUCCAGUGUGGCUUUCAAAGGAAGCAGUUUCUAUACUGAAAGGGUUUAUGACAAAGGAACCAUCCAAGCGGUUGGGCUGCGUUGCAGAGCGAGGAGGAGAAUUGGCAAUUCGUAACCACAAAUUCUUCCGAGAGAUAGACUGGGAGGCUCUUGAGCAGCGCAAAGUUAAACCACCAUUUACACCUAAGAUAAAAGGACGUAAGGAUACAGUCAACUUUGAUGCAGAGUUCACCAAGGAAGAGCCAACUCUCACCUUUAUUAAUGAAGAAGUUGUUCGUGCUAUCAACCAAGACGAGUUUAGAGGAUUUUCUUUUGUUAAUCGUGAAUUUAAGUCCAUGGCGGCUGCACCAUGUCAAACCUAAGUGCAAAUGCAGCACAGUACAAAGUGCUAAAGUCUCCCCAGGAAACUUGAUGUGCAGAUUAUAUGAGAGGAUUCUUUAGGGAAGAAAGCAGAUGAAGGAUGGGAAAUAAGCAAUGAAUAAUAGUAAGCCCACCUUUCCUGCAUAAGUGGUAACCCAGACCUGCAAAGGGCAAGAAUGACCCUUCAGCCCAACCCCUCCGACAAGGAGUAUAGAGCCCAAUGCCCAGCUUUUUUCUUAUAUAUGACCCAGUGCUGCGUCUUGGUGCCUCUUCUAGAUGGCCUUCAAAGACAGAAGAGCUUUGGGUCAACUCCUUCUACCCAUGGACUACUGUGCCAAAAUCAACUGUCUCCCUCACUUCAAACAUCAGUGUGAUCGUCUGUAUAAUAUUCUGAUUGCUGUAAUGAUAUGUCAAUGGGUAUUUUUGUCUCCUCAAAAAAUACUUAUGUCUUUCUCUCAGCUGACUGUAUGAGAAGCGUGAUAUAAAUAUAUUUAAGUGUUCAAAA
rnacentral:misc_RNA from 1 species